GACGAACGCUGGCGGCGUGCUUAACACAUGCAAGUCGAGCGGAAAGGCCACUUCGGUGGUACUCGAGCGGCGAACGGGUGAGUAACACGUGAGUAAUCUGCCCCUGGCUUUGGGAUAGCCACCGGAAACGGUGAUUAAUACCGGAUACGACCACUUCUCGCAUGGGAUGGUGGUGGAAAGUUUUUUCGGCCAGGGAUGUGCUCGCGGCCUAUCAGCUUGAUGGUGAGGUAAUGGCUCACCAUGGCUUCGACGGGUAGCCGGCCUGAGAGGGUGACCGGUCACACUGGGACUGAGACACGGCCCAGACUCCUACGGGAGGCAGCAGUGGGGAAUAUUGGACAAUGGGCGGAAGCCUGAUCCAGCAACGCCGCGUGAGGGAUGACGGCCUUCGGGUUGUAAACCUCUUUCAGUACCGACGAAGCGCAAGUGACGGUAGGUACAGAAGAAGCACCGGCCAACUACGUGCCAGCCGCCGCGGUAACAC
rnacentral:rRNA from 1 species